rnacentral:rRNA from 1 species
UUUGGGAAUGCAGCUCUAAAUGGGAGGUAAAUUUCUUCUAAAGCUAAAUACCGGCCAGAGACCGAUAGCGCACAAGUAGAGUGAUCGAAAGAUGAAAAGCACUUUGGAAAGAGAGUUAAAAAGUACGUGAAAUUGUUGAAAGGGAAGCGCUUGCAACCAGACUUGUCCGCAGUUGCUCAGCCGGUCUCCUGACCGGCGUACUCUUCUGCGGCCAGGCCAGCAUCAGUUCGGGCGGUCGGAUAAAGGCCUCGGGAAUGUGGCUCCUCUCGGGGAGUGUUAUAGCCCGGGGCGGAAUGCGGCCAGCCUGGACUGAGGAUCUCGCUUCGGCAAGGAUGCUGGCGUAAUGGUUGUAAGCGGCCCGUCUUGAAACACGGACCAAGGAGUCUAACAUCUAUGCGAGUGUUUGGGUGUCAAACCCAUACGCGUAAUGAAAGUGAACGGAGGUGGGAACCCGCAAGGGCGCACCAUCGGCCGAUCCUGAUGUCUUCGGAUGGAUUUGAGCAAGAGCAUAGCUGUUGGGACCCGAAAGAUGGUGAACUAUGCCUGAAUAGGGUGAAGCCAGAGGAAACUCUGGUGGAGGCUCGCAGCGGUUCUGACGUGCAAAUCGAUCGUCAAAUUUGGGUAUAGGGGCGAAAGACUAAUCGAACCAUUAACAUUGGCGGCCCUUUGUUACGUGCUUAGGCUGCUAGGUGGUUAAGAGGCGGCUCAAAGCGCUCGCCUAGUCCCUCUGUCGGGGCAACAUCGUCAAACUGUUCGGGACGUCCUUAGAGCUUAGACUACCGCGGCCGGGCGAAAGGCUCGGUGCAGCACAGGU